rnacentral:rRNA from 1 species
AUGGCACUGGUGCAGACAUAUGGGAAGCCUGACAUCUUUUUGACUAUGACAUGCAAUCCUAGCUGGGAGGAGAUACUGAAUGAGCUGCUUCCUGGACAGACACCCCAGGACCGACCAGAUCUUGUCGCACGCGUGUUCAGGGCCAAGCUGGAGACCAUGAAAGAGAUGUUGUUCAAAAAGCACAUCCUCGGUGUUGUGGUAGCGCAUGUGUAUGUCGUCGAGUUCCAGAAGAGGGGGCUCCCCCAUGCACACUUCUUGCUGAUCAUGAAUUCAAAUUAUAAACUCGUGGUGCCAGAGCAGUAUGACCGCGUCAUAUCUGCAGAGCUCCCGGACGGGCAUAAGUAUCCAGAGCUCUAUGCCAUGGUCGUGAAGCAUAUGAUGCACGGCCCAUGUGGCAAUCUUAAUCCCAAAAAUGUGUGCAUGCAAGACUUGAAGUGCAAGAGCAAGUACCCACGACCGUUCAACCAGAACACCUUAUAG